UGUAUUUAGCUUCAGUAUAAAAGCAGAGCACAUCCAUGAACGCAGACGGAAGCCCCUGCAGCUGCUGGCUAUAAAAACAAGGAUUCUCCCUUUGGAUCUUUAAUACUCCGUGACAUCUCUCUCCGUCUUACAGAUACGAAUGGAGUGUAAAAAGAAAAUAAAGCAAACAAAAAGCUACAGGAGCAUCAGAGACCACAGAUGAGCAAACAACGAGGAAAGAGAGAAAUGGAGGACAGAAAUAAGACCCAAACCUGUGAAUCACAAGAGAAAAGCAGACAGAUAUCUGCUAGAUGUGAGAGUAUGGAGAAACUAAAGCCGUACUUGUAAUGUGAUCCAGACGGACCUGUGAAGAUGAUUCUGAUGUUACAAGAUUCUCACAUUGAACCCUUCAUCACUGAAGUCCAUCAUCAUCUUCAUCAUCAUCAUCAUCAGAAUACUGAUCUGGAAGCUUUUACACUCGUCUGAGCACAAACACACUACAAGAGCUUCUUUCCCAGAGAAUCUGCUGAUGCUGCACUUUACUCUCAAUCCUGUGCAUCAUACAGAUUGUUUUUGUUUAACAAAAUUUGUUUCAAUUUACACUGUCUCAUAUUUCAUUUACUAUGCAUGUUUUUGUAUUCCCGAGCUUUAAUUGCUCAUUCUGAUUGGAAUACAAAAAGAUGCCUAGUAAAUGAAAAUGCAUGAAAUAUUAAGCAGUGGUUUUUAUGAUAUGAUAUUUGUAUGAUUUAUAUGACACAGUAUGAUAUUGUGAUUUAUUUCAUAGAUUGUGUCCACCUGAUUUCUAUCAGAACGGCCGUUUGUGAACUGAACAGAUCUGGCUUCCGCUCUCAUGCACUUCCAGUUAUUUUUAGCUGUUCAAAACAGCUGUUUAAUAUUACAAAACCUGGGUUUUACCAUGAUAUUUUAAUGAAUUGUCAUUAUUAAUACGCUGGUCUGCAGUGCAAAUUGUUAUACAGUUUACGACACUCAAUUCUUCAAGUAUUUUCAUAUUGCAGCAGAUGAAUCUGAAGUUGCACACGUUCAGAAAAUCAAUUUUGCUAAAAAAGAUGGAUAUUUAUUUCGUAUCCUUCAAUACCGUUUGUUGCAUAUGUAUUUAUUAACGCUUCACCCUAUUCUUAAUUAACAGUAAUGAUUCAGUAUUCUGUUAGUGCAACUGACUCCAAGCUAUUUGUAUACUAUAGUGUCCUCCGUUCUCAAACUGCUCUUCACAUGUAGGUUUAUAUCGAUGCUGGAGUCAGUAACAGCAUCUCACAGCUGGACAUGACCCUCGACAGAUCAGAGUCCUCUCUCUCUCUCUCUCUCACACACACACACACACACACACACACAGACACACACACACACAGACACACACGCUGAUCUCUGUACUGUCUCAAGUUACUAUCACUGUGCUGUCUGUGAACACUAAGUGUCUUAUCAAGGACUGAUCCACAGGUGCAUGUGCAAUAAAUGUUUAUUGUUCAUUAAACAAGCUUGAAAA